rnacentral:rRNA from 1 species
GUAGGUGGCAAGCGUUGUCCGGAAUUAUUGGGCGUAAAGCGCGCGCAGGCGGUUCUUUAAGUCUGAUGUGAAAGCCCACGGCUCAACCGUGGAGGGUCAUUGGAAACUGGAGAACUUGAGUACAGAAGAGGAAAGCGGAAUUCCACGUGUAGCGGUGAAAUGCGUAGAGAUGUGGAGGAACACCAGUGGCGAAGGCGGCUUUCUGGUCUGUAACUGACGCUGAGGCGCGAAAGCGUGGGGUAGCAAACAGGGAUUAGAUACCCUGGUAGUCCACGCCGUAAACCGAUGAGUGCUAAGUGUUAGGGGGUUUCCGCCCCCUUAGUGCUGCAGCUAACGCAUUAAGCACUCCGCCUGGGGAUACGGCCGCAAGGCUG